rnacentral:rRNA from 1 species
UACGAAGGGGGCUAGCGUUGUUCGGAAUUACUGGGCGUAAAGCGCACGUAGGCGGAUCGAUCAGUCAGGGGUGAAAAUCCCCAGGGCUCAACCCUGGAACUGCCUUUGAUACUGUCGAUCUGGAGUAUGGAAGAGGUGAGUGGAAUUCCGAGUGUAGAGGUGAAAUUCGUAGAUAAUUCGGAGGAACACCAGUGGCGAAGGCGGCUCACUGGUCCAUUACUGACGCUGAGGUGCGAAAGCGAGGGGAGCAAACAGGG